AUACGGAGGGUCCAAGCGUUAUCCGGAUUCAUUGGGUUUAAAGGGUCCGCAGGCGGGAAAAUAAGUCAGUGGUGAAAGCCUACAGCUCAACUGUAGAACUGCCAUUGAAACUGUUUUUCUUGAGUAUAGAUGAAGUGGGCGGAAUACACCAUGUAGCGGUGAAAUGCAUAGAUAUGAUAUAGAACACCGAUUGCGAAGGCAGCUCACUAAACUAUUACUGACGCUCAGGGACGAAAGCGUGGGGAGCGAACAGGAUUAGAAACCCUAGUAGUCC
rnacentral:rRNA from 1 species